GAGAGAGACAGAGCAUGAGAGGGGGAGGGGCAGAGAGAGAAGGAGACACAGAACCAGAAGCAGGCUCCAGGCUCUGAGCUAGCUGUCAGCACAGAGCCUGACGCGGGGCUCGAACCCACGAACGUGAGAUCUGACCUGAGCCGAAGUCGGAGGCUUAACUGACUGAGCCACCCAGGUCCCUAAAUGGUAAGCUCUUUAUGCAAAAAAAAAAAAUUUAGCUUUCUUUGUAAUUCCUCCAAAUAAUUAACAUUGUGCCACUGUGAACAUCUUACAUACACUGAUCAAAUGGGUUUUACCUUUUUACCCCUCCAGGAACAAAUGAAAAGGAAGACUAUCCAAAAGAAAACAUCAGGAAGAUGCUCCAGUUUUCUGGUCACCUGGAGUUCCACCCUCACCUGCUUCUCCUGCUGGCACCUGCUUCUCUGAACGCCACAAACCCUUCUUUGGCCAUCUCAUCACCUUCUGUCAAGUAAACUAGGCAUUCCUCAGACUCUCACAACCGAGACCUCCCUGGUAAGCUCCA
rnacentral:lncRNA from 1 species